GGAUAGCCACUAGAAGUGGUGGGUAAUACUGUAUAAUCCCUGCGGGGGAAAGAUUUAUCGCUACAUGAUGAGCCUAUGUUAGAUUAGCUAGUUGGUGGGGUAAUGGCCUACCAAGGCAGUGAUCUAUAGCUGGUCUGAGAGGAUGAUCAGCCACACUGGAACUGAGACACGGUCCAGACUCCUACGGGAGGCAGCAGUGGGGAAUAUUGGACAAUGGGCGCAAGCCUGAUCCAGCUAUGCCGCGUGAGUGAGGAAGGCCUUAGGGUUGUAAAACUCUUUCAGUAGGGAAGAUAAUGACGGUACC
rnacentral:rRNA from 1 species